rnacentral:rRNA from 1 species
UACGGAGGGUGCGAGCGUUGUCCGGAAUCACUGGGCGUAAAGGGCGCGUAGGCGGCUUGGUAAGUAGGGGGUGAAAUCCUGCGGCUUAACCGCAGGGCUGCCUUCUAAACUGCCAGGCUCGAGCACAGUAGAGGCAGGUGGAAUUCCCGGUGUAGCGGUGGAAUGCGUAGAGAUCGGGAAGAACAUCGGUGGUGAAGGCGGCCUGCUGGGCUGUUGCUGACGCUGGAGGCGCGACAGCGUGGGGAGCAAACAGG